UGGGGAAUAUUGGACAAUGGGCGAAAGCCUGAUCCAGCCAUGCCGCGUGUGUGAAGAAGGUCUUCGGAUUGUAAAGCACUUUAAGUUGGGAGGAAGGGCAGUAAGCGAAUACCUUGCUGUUUUGACGUUACCGACAGAAUAAGCACCGGCUACUCUGUGCCAGCAGCCGCGGUAAUACAGAGGGUGCAAGCGUUAAUCGGAAUUACUGGGCGUAAAGCGCGCGUAGGUGGUUCGUUAAGUUGAAUGUGAAAGCCCCGGGCUCAACCUGGGAACUGCAUCCAAAACUGGCGAGCUAGAGUAGGGCAGAGGGUGGUGGAAUUUCCUGUGUAGCGGUGAAAUGCGUAGAUAUAGGAAGGAACACCAGUGGCGAAGGCGACCACCUGGGCUCAUACUGACACUGAGGUGCGAAAGCGUGGGGAGCAAACAGG
rnacentral:rRNA from 1 species